UACGGAGGGGGCUAGCGUUGUUCGGAAUUACUGGGCGUAAAGCGCACGUAGGCGGCUUUGUAAGUUAGAGGUGAAAGCCCGGGGCUCAACUCCGGAAUUGCCUUUAAGACUGCAUCGCUAGAAUUGUGGAGAGGUGAGUGGAAUUCCGAGUGUAGAGGUGAAAUUCGUAGAUAUUCGGAAGAACACCAGUGGCGAAGGCGACUCACUGGACACAUAUCGACGCUGAGGUGCGAAAGCGUGGGGAGCAAACAGG
rnacentral:rRNA from 1 species